GAUUAGAGUAGAUCGUAGUAAAGAGAAAGACUCAAUAGUUCUUUAAAAAUCAUCAUUUACUUAGAUCUCCAACAAGGCCUGAAUUCAGACAUGGCUUCCACUUGGUACUUCUCUUGUUUGGUCGUCGCCACCCUGAUUCUCCACACGUGUUUGUGCCUGCCAACUGAGAUUGCUGCGACAACAAAGGUGCCAUCUAUACCAGAAGCUGCUGAAGACCUUCCCAGCUCAGAUGCACCUGUUGUCGAUCCGUCGACCUACGGAGAUCUGAACCCAAAGUCAAUUAACAUAAACAGCCUUAUACUAUUGUCUAUACUGAGAAAUCAAGGACUGUUUAGUAAUCUGAAUUUAAAUCUAAACAGCAAUUCCUUGAACAGUAAUGCAUUGCUAGCUCUAUUGCUGCUCAGGAAUAUUGGAUAAAGAACUUGAAGGUCCCUUGGACUGCUGAAACAUGUAUCAUGUGUUCAAUAAAUCUGAUGUAAACAUUGA
rnacentral:sRNA from 1 species